CUGCCACUGAUGUGUAUGUACACCAAUCAGUCUAUACACUUAUCACUAGAGCAAUGAGGCGAACGAGCAGAAUCUUUUCCAGCAUUGCUAUUUGUUUAUCAUCUUUGUUAUUUCUUUUAGAUUCAAGUGACUCUGAAAGUUCUGUGAGGACCUGGUCAUGUCAAAAUGGUCAGUGUACUGUCAAAGCUAAUCAACGGUGCACAGCCACCAACUGUACAGACGGCGCCACCAACUCUAUUUUUUGUUCUCAACGGAAAUGGCAAUGCAGAAAUGGCACAUGUCAAGAAAUAGAUCCUGGAUGUUUCACAGAUGAUCUCGACCUGUUCCAUAGUGUUGAAGACUUCUGUAGUAAGUAAUUGGUGUUGAAAAUUGCCCUUUUGCACCCAUCUGUCUAGGAUUUCUUUUUUCGUUUAAAACAAGAAAAUAAAUAUAAAUUCAACAAUAAAUUAGAUUUUAUUGAUCUCAAGAUGCAAUGUUCGUAAUCAAUGAAAUGAUAAAAUUACCUUCAUUUAAAAAGAAUAUUAUUGAUUUAUUAAUCAGUUUAAGUAUUUUAUGAAAACAACUUAAGUAUUUAUGAAUUGAUAAAUAAAUAACAAGCAAAAAUUCAAGACUUGAGCUAAUGAACAAUAAGCGUGAGAGGUUUUACUGAAGUAAUAUUGGAUGACUUAUUGGGGUAUCUCCUAAUUGGGACGUUUUAAUUUAGGUAAUUUCUUAAAUGGGACGUUUUUAUUUAGGUUCUUUCUUAAAAGGGACGUUUUUAUUUAGGUUCUUUCUUAAAAGGGACGUCUUACUGUAUAUUCCAUCUAAAAGGUGGCGCAGUUGCUAAGUUUCAGAACUAAGGAGUUGAGGGUGAAGACUGAGAUUUGUAAUUUCUAGAUCGUUAGGCCGUUCCUGAGUCCACCCAGCUCCAAAAGGUACCCGAUAUUAGCUGGGGAAAAGUAAAUGAUGUUGAUCAUUGUGCUGGCCACAUGGCACCCUUGUUAACCGUAGGCCACAGAAACAGAUGACCUUUACAUCAUCUGCCCUAUAUAGACCGUAAGGUCUGAAAGGAUACUCUCCUUACAAUCUAAAAAGGAAGGUUUUGUUUUAAACAGAUGACCUUUACAUCAUCUGCCCCAUAUAGACCGUUAGGUCUGAAUGGAUACUCUCCUUACAAUCUAAAAAGGAAGGUUUUGUUUUUGUUGUU